rnacentral:rRNA from 1 species
AUUGAACGCUGGCGGAAUGCUUUACACAUGCAAGUCGAACGGUAACAGGUCUUCGGAUGCUGACGAGUGGCGAACGGGUGAGUAAUAUAUCGGAACGUGCCCAGUCGUGGGGGAUAACGUAGCGAAAGUUACGCUAAUACCGCAUACGAUCUACGGAUGAAAGCGGGGGAUCGCAAGACCUCGCGCGAUUGGAGCGGCCGAUAUCAGAUUAGGUAGUUGGUGGGGUAAAGGCUCACCAAGCCAACGAUCUGUAGCUGGUCUGAGAGGACGACCAGCCACACUGGAACUGAGACACGGUCCAGACUCCUACGGGAGGCAGCAGUGGGGAAUUUUGGACAAUGGGCGCAAGCCUGAUCCAGCCAUUCCGCGUGCAGGACGAAGGCCUUCGGGUUGUAAACUGCUUUUGUACAGAACGAAAAGCUCUGGGUUAAUACCCUGGGGUCAUGACGGUACUGUAAGAAUAAGCACCGGCCAACUACGUACCG